rnacentral:sRNA from 1 species
GUUUCAAUUCCUCAUAGGCAGGCUAUCGGCGGAAUUUGCCUGAGAUUGCCAGUGACUGGAUAGGCAG